GUGCCAUCCAUGUGGGACUGACGGCGGCGGCGAUGCGAGCAGCGCAUGGAGCGUACUAGCGAGGAUGCCGUUACGGAAGAAGAAAAAAAGAAGAAGCCGAGCAGAGCGCGGAUCGAACCACGGACCCCAAAAGAAAUGACCAGCAGCUUUACCACUGAGCCAACGAUGCCACAUGUACCCCCAGCAGGAAUGAAGGAACUGAUGUGGAGGCGACCUUCUACGUUCGCCGAGGAGAAGCGUGGGAGCCCGUCUGGGAGUGGCGGAGAGGUACGACGUCAUACUGAAGUACUAUACAUAACGCAUU